AGAUGUACAUAUACAGGCAGUAUGAACAGCAGAGAAGGGAAGUAAAGGCAUCUCAUGCAGAGGAAAGAGCACCAGGCAAGUCAUGAAGGCCCCAAGUGCAUAACUUAUUUGAGGAAACGUGAAUUGCUUCAUGUCAUCGCAGCAUAAGGUCAUGAGAAAUAAGUGACAGGAGGUAAAAAUAUAACGGUGGUAAGGGAUGGAUUGUCAUUGAAGGCUUUUUCAGGAGGUUAAGUAUGGUCAGAUCUGGGUUUUAGAAAAUAAACUGUACUUGAAGGGGAAAGGGACGAAAAGGAUGGAGACCAGUUAUAAGGAUAUCUAGUGGUCUGAGAGAUUGGGGUAAUGGUGGCUAAUUUAGGUCAUUAGCAAUGACAAUGAAAAGGAGGAAAUAAAUAAAAGGAACCUUGCAGGGUUAAGUCCAUUUGGGGAUGAGAGAGACAGUAGGUAGAAAGAGAUACUAAAAGUGAUGACAUUAACCAACGUAGAGAGUAUGUGAGUUGGGAGGAGGGCAGGGGAAAAAAAGUUACUUUCCAUUUUUAAUGUCUUUGUGUUGUUGAUGCUUAUCUGACAUUCAAAUGAAGAUAAAAGUAUUCAGAUCUAGGAUUUAGGGCAGAAGUGAUGCCUGGAGAUAGACAUUUGAAACUCAUCUAUAAGCAAGUGAUGACUGAAGUUGUAGGGUUAGAUAAAUUACUCUGCAAUAAAGCAUAAAACAAAAUAAGAUGAAGGUUACAAGUGAUACUUUCUGAUUAGUGUGACACUUGAAAUGGAUCUGUUUCUUUUUUUUGCCAAGAAACGUGCUAUUUGGAGUUGCCUUCUCCAUUUCCUGACAGGAAUUGAGUCUGAUUACCUACAUCCUAUAUCUCAUUAAUUAUUAUUUUUUCAUUUUUUUCCAAUUUACAAAGAAGAUUUGUACUCGCUGUCCCACCUAUUAUUGUUCCAUUAUUACCCUCUCUUGCCUUCUGGAAAUGCCAUAUUGUGUGAUCAAUACCUCUCGAUGUUUUUUCAGUCUUGAAUUAAUGCAAUCAGGUUUCUAUACUCAGUCAAUGCUGAUGAUAAUGAUGAUGAUGAUAAUGAUCUUCUUGAUGAUGAUGGUCUGCCAGACACUGCCCAGAACUAAACAUUAUUUCAACUAAUACUCCAUACCCCUAUCAGGUAUUUAGUGUUAACAUUCCUACACUACGUAUGAGGAAACUAGGGUUUAGAAAGUUUAAGAUUCUGCCACAAGUGAAACCUGGGCAGUGAUGGAUACAGG
rnacentral:lncRNA from 1 species